CGACAUUGAAUUGUCCGCCGUUGAUGGCAGAAGAGAUGUUGUAGAGAAAUACUUUUCCCCAGGUGGAGUGCCGGUUGAUGUUCGUAAUGCUGGGUCAAAAGAUAUCCAAAAGGGACCCCAUGGCUUGGUCAAAAAUACCCUGUUGAAAGGAGGUGACGAAUAUUUAGAAGUCAAAGAAGUUGAAUUCCCUCAUUCCUCAAGUAAGGGAGACCAUCAAAACAUCCCGUCAGCAGACGCGCGCCAGAAUGCGGCGCACCCUACUCCUACUGAAAGACUGAAGAUUGAAAUUAUCGAGAGACCAGAAUUACUAAAAGUGACGGUCGACAAGACACCCCAUAAGGAACAAUCACGGACAAAUAAAGAGAAAAAGGAAUCGAGAGAACCACAAAGGGAAAGUGAGAGUCAAUCAAUAACAAGCUCAGGCCUUCUCAUUGUGGACGAAGAUUGGGAUGAAAACUAUCCUGUGGAUGACGAGGAUUGGAGCAGUGAAAGUGCACAUGAUGUUGGUUCAGCUUCAACUUCAG